rnacentral:lncRNA from 1 species
CCCGCCUCUUCCUUCUCCUGCGCCUCGGCGGCCGCCAGAGCCGCUCUUCAGGGAGGAAGCGGCCUCCGGGGCUUGUUGCUUUGUGCUGCAACCAUGGUGAGGAGUGAGUGACGGGCCGGGGGCCAGUCGGAGGCCGCCGCAUCAUCGGGGGCGGAGCGCCCCGUGGCGCCGGCCCGCCCCAUCGCUGGCCUGGCGGGGCCGCGCCCUCGCUGAGAGCCGCGUUCUGCCGGGACCAGGUGCGGUAGGAGCCGGGACAGCCGGGGCUGUUGCGAUCGUUGAUCCCAUAGCUGAGCGGCCGCACCCCGACUCUCUGGCCUAGACCCCACAUCCCAGGCCUUGCGGCACGUCUCCCGCCCCUUCCCGGGCUGGAAGCUGACCCCACCCGGGAGAGGUCCCUGUGAGGACUCGGCUGCAGUGGCAGGUCUUCCCAAAGCUUAGGGCUGACUGGGAUUUUGCCUCGUUGGCAACAUUAACCAUCCUUGGAUUCUGUUUAUUUGUAGUGACUGCAAGGACAACGUUGCUCUCCCUCCUUCCGCGCUCACUGACAUCUAAACCCUUAAAUGACUCCUGCGUUAGGCAGGUAGGAAUGUGGCUUUCCAACUCCAGACCUGGUAUCACAUCGGACAAGAAAACACCAGAUGGAUUUGAGAUUCCUCACCAUAUCCCGUGAAAACUGAAGGAGUAAACAUCUGUUUGCUGCCACAGAAGACAGGCUUUGUGUCCCAGCUUUGUGUCACACUCUGAAGACACCACAUCCAUUCUAUUUUGUUCUGUUCUAUUCAUGCACACACUAUCAUUUAAGACGUCCUUCCUAGGUAAUUUGAGGUCUCCUAAUCUUAUGCUUGAAUAUAAAGGUUUCAAUGAAC